rnacentral:rRNA from 1 species
AUUGAACGCUGGCGGAAUGCUUUACACAUGCAAGUCGAACGGCAGCACGGACUUCGGUCUGGUGGCGAGUGGCGAACGGGUGAGUAACAUAUCGGAACGUAUCCAAUAAUGGGGGAUAACUAAUCGAAAGGUUGGCUAAUACCGCAUACGCCCUACGGGGGAAAGCUAGGGACCUUCGGGCCUGGCGUUAAUGGAGCGGCCGAUAUCUGAUUAGCUAGUUGGUGAGGUAAAGGCUCACCAAGGCGACGAUCAGUAGCUGGUCUGAGAGGACGACCAGCCACACUGGAACUGAGACACGGGUCCAGACUCCUACGGGAGGCAGCAGUGGGGAAUUUUGGACAAUGGGCGCAAGCCUGAUCCAGCCAUUCCGCGUGAGUGAAGAAGGGCCCUUCGGGUUG